AUUGAACGCUGGCGGCAGGCUUAACACAUGCAAGUCGAGCGGAGUGAUGGUGCUUGCACUAUCACUUAGCGGCGGACGGGUGAGUAAUGCUUAGGAGUCUGCCUAUUAGUGGGGGACAACAUCUCGAAAGGGAUGCUAAUACCGCAUACGUCCUACGGGAGAAAGCAGGGGAUCACUUGUGACCUUGCGCUAAUAGAUGAGCCUAAGUCGGAUUAGCUAGUUGGUGGGGUAAAGGCCUACCAAGGCGACGAUCUGUAGCGGGUCUGAGAGGAUGAUCCGCCACACUGGGACUGAGACACGGCCCAGACUCCUAUGGGAGGCAGCAGUGGGGAAUAUUGGACAAUGGGGGGAACCCUGAUCCAGCCAUGCCGCGUGUGUGAAGAAGGCCUUAUGGUUGUAAAGCACUUUAAGCGAGGAGGAGGCUCUUUUGGUUAAUACCCAAGAUGAGUGGACGUUACUCGCAGAAUAAGCACCGGCUAACUCUGUGCCAGCAGCCGCCGUAA
rnacentral:rRNA from 1 species